rnacentral:rRNA from 1 species
AUGCCGCAGCGGCAAAGUCAGACGCAGGAUGCGACGGGCCUCCACGCGGGGGUCGAUAAUCAGUUUGUGAUGCUGCGCAACAGUACUCGGGAGAAAAUAUUCGACUAUAUGGGAAGGAAGCCAUCCUCGGCUAUUUAUCAGGGGCGGCUGCCGGAGCUUGCGAGACGGCUCGAGGAAAUCUUGUUUAGAGAAUUCCCAAACAAGAAUGAGUACUACAAUAUGAUGAAGGGGGCGAUUGAGACCCACUUGCGGUUUGCCAUGAAAGUCUUGAGUGUUCAGACCCAGCAACAACAACAGAACCGAUAA